rnacentral:rRNA from 1 species
UACGUAGGGACCGAGCGUUGUCCGGAUUUAUUGGGCGUAAAGAGCUCGUAGGCGGCUUGUCGCGUCGUCUGUGAAAUCCCGCGGCUCAACCGCGGGUCUGCAGUCGAUACGGGCAGGCUAGAGUUCGGUAGGGGAGACUGGAAUUCCUGGUGUAGCGGUGAAAUGCGCAGAUAUCAGGAGGAACACCGGUGGCGAAGGCGGGUCUCUGGGCCGAUACUGACGCUGAGGAGCGAAAGCGUGGGGAGCGAACAGG